GACGAACGCUGGCGGCGUGCUUAACACAUGCCAGUCGACCGCAGUGGCGAACGGGUGAGUAAUACGUGUGUAACCUGCCCUCCUUUUUGGGAUAAGCCUUGGAAACGGGGUCUAAUACCGGCUAAAGGGUGAUGGGCUCGCGGCCUAUCAGCUUGUUGGUGGGGUGAUGGCCUACCAAGGGGGUGACGGGUAGCCGGCCUGAGAGGGUGACCGGCAACAUGGGGACUGAGAGACGGCUCAGAGUGAUAAGGGAGGGAGCAGUGGGGGAUAUUGCACAAUGGGCGAAAGACUGAGGAAGCGACGCCGCGUGGGGGAUGCAGGCGUUGGGGUUGUAAACCUCGUUCGAUAGCGAACGGGUAGGUGGAGAAGAAGCGCCGGCUAACUACGUGCCAGCAGCCGCGGUAAUAC
rnacentral:rRNA from 1 species